UUUCACCAUACCGCAACAAGUACCCCGGAGAGGUCUUCGUCAUCUCGUCCCGUCCCUAUGGGCAGACGGCUUUCCGUGAACUGCGUCUGCUGAUCAUUACCGAUCACCAUCCUGUCAUCGAAUCUUUCUAAGUCAACAUUCCGGUCAUUGCCGUCUGCAACACCGAUUCGCUGUUGAAGUUCGUCGACAUUGCCAUCCCGUGCAACAACAAGUCGCCGCAUUCCAUUAUUCUGAUGUGGUGGCUGUUGGCCGCGACUGCGUGGCAAGAUCACCCACUUAGUGGGAUCGACGACUAUUCUUCUACCGCGAUCCGGAGGAGGCUGAGAAGGAACAGGCUGCCCUGGAGGCCGUACCUGCUACCAUAGAUCUACCCGGAGGAACUGAUCGUGGUCGAUGAGACCAACUGGGCCAGCGAGGACGCAGCCGCUCCAGCUGCCCUGCCACAGUUGGUGCAGGCUGAUAACGAACGAAGACAAGACCCAGACUGUUGGAUUGUGGGGAGGCGGCGGUGGCUUCUAAGCCAUAGCGGAUUGGGAAGGACACUACGUGUAUUUAAUGUAGGUGGUUCAGGUGAAGAUUCGGUGGUACAACAAAAGGGAUUAUGUGAAUGGCCACCGAACCGUGAAAAGCAAGAAAAAGACGGGGAUUUGAAUCCAGCGGGAAAAAGACAGGAAACCGAGAAUUUGACAUGGUCACCGGGAAAAUCAUUCUGAACGAACACCUUCAACCUCUAAAAAAA